AGCGAACGCUGGCGGCAGGCCUAACACAUGCAAGUCGAACGAACUCUUCGGAGUUAGUGGCGGACGGGUGAGUAACACGUGGGAACGUGCCUUUAGGUUCGGAAUAACUCAGGGAAACUUGUGCUAAUACCGAAUGUGCCCUUCGGGGGAAAGAGUUAUCGCCUUUAGAGCGGCCCGCGUCUGAUUAGCUAGUUGGUUGGGGUAAUGGCCCACCAAGGCGACGAUCAGUAGCUGGUCUGAGAGGAUGACCAGCCACAUUGGGACUGAGACACGACCCAAACUCCUACGGGAGGCAGCAGUGGGGAAUCUUGCGCAAUGGGCGAAAGCCUGACGCAGCCAUGCGGGGUGUAUGAUGAAGGUCUUAGGAUUGUAAAAUACUUUCACCGGUGAAGAUAAUGACUGUAGCCGGAGAAGAAGCCCCGGCUAACUUCGUGCCAGCAGCCGCCGUAACAC
rnacentral:rRNA from 1 species